rnacentral:rRNA from 1 species
UCCUCCCUCUUUCUUCGUGCUUAACACAUGCAAGUCGAACGCUGAAGCUCAGCUUUUGUUGGGUGGAUGAGUGGCGAACGGGUGAGUAACACGUGAGUAACCUGCCUCCUUCUUUGGGAUAACGCCCGGAAACGGGUGCUAAUACUGGAUAUUCACUGGUCUUUGCGUGGGGGUUGGUGGAAAGGGUUUUUCUGGUGGGGGAUGGGCUCGCGGCCUAUCAGCUUGUUGGUGGGGUGAUGGCCUACCAAGGCUUUGACGGGUAGCCGGCCUGAGAGGGUGACCGGUAACAUUGGGACUGAGAUACGGCCCAGACUCCUACGGGAGGCAGCAGUGGGGAAGAUUGCACAAUGGGCGCAAGCCUGAUGCAGCGACGCAGCGUGAGGGAUGGAGGCCUUCGGGUUGUGAACCUCUUUCGCUCAUGGUCAAGCCGAAACAAUGGUUGUGGUGAGGGUAGUGGGUAAAGAAGCGCCGGCUAACUACGUG